rnacentral:rRNA from 1 species
AAAGGCAUUGGNUCAACCAAUGUAUGCUUUGGAAACUGUUAGACUUGAGUGCAGAAGGGGAGAGUGGAAUUCCAUGUGUAGCGGUGAAAUGCGUAGAUAUAUGGAGGAACACCGGUGGCGAAAGCGGCUCUCUGGUCUGUCACUGACGCUGAGGCUCGAAAGCGUGGGUAGCGAACAGGAUUAGAUACCCUGGUAGUCCACGCCGUAAACGCUGAGUGCUAGGUGUUAGGUCCUNUCCGGGACUUAGUGCCGACGCUAACGCAUUAAGCACUCCGCCUGGGGAGUACGACCGCAAGGUUGAAACUCAAAGGAAUUGACGGGGGCCCGCACAAGCGGUGGAGCAUGUGGUUUAAUUCGAAGCAACGCGAAGAACCUUACCAGGUCUUGACAUCCCGAUGCCCGCUCUAGAGAUAGAGUUUUUCUUCGGAACAUCGGAGACAGGUGGUGCAUGGUUGUCGUCAGCUCGUGUCGUGAGAUGUUGGGUUAAGUCCCGCAACGAGCGCAACCCUUAUUGUUAGUUGCCAUCAUUAAGUUGGGCACUCUAGCGAGACUGCCGGUAAUAAACCGGAGGAAGGUGGGGAUGACGUCAAAUCAUCAUGCCCCUUAUGACCUGGGCUACACACGUGCUACAAUGGUUGGUACAACGAGUCGCAAGCCGGUGACGGCAAGCUAAUCUCUGAAAGCCAAUCUCAGUUCGGAUUGUAGGCUGCAACUCGCCUACAUGAAGUCGGAAUCGCUAGUAAUCGCGGAUCAGCACGCCGCGGUGAAUACGUUCCCGGGCCUUGUACACACCGCCCGUCACACCACGAGAGUUUGUAACACCCAAAGUCGGUGAGG